rnacentral:tRNA from 1 species
GAGGGCGUAGCUCAGCGGUAGAGCAUCGGACUUUUAAUCCGUUGGCCGUGGGUUCAAAUCCCACCGCCCUCA